GGGGACCUGCGGGGCCCUACACCACGACAGGGGCCCUCGCGCCCACAAAGCAACGGAAGACAGAAA
rnacentral:ncRNA from 1 species